CUUGUCGCACUGUCUCACCAAUGGAUGGUGGUGUUUGUGUAUUAAUUGCGUAAAACAAGCAAAAUGUGUGGAAAAUCGGUUCAGUUUACAGCAGAGCCAUUCAGCCGAUUAAGCUAUACUCGAGGCUUUGGACGAAGGAGAGGCAAGUCGCCGUUCUUUACUGGACUUGAAGAGAACCAUCUUCUGGAAGAUGGCCAUCUGGAUCAGAUAGUCCCUUCCCUUAAUUCUCCCAUGCAUUGCUCACCCAAGUCCCAAGGAAACUCUGAACCUGGGGAACGAUAUUCUCGCAAGGUAUUUGUUGGUGGGCUUCCCCCGGACAUUGAUGAAGAGGAAAUUACAGCAAGUUUUAGACGAUUUGGCCCUCUGGUGGUGGAUUGGCCACACAAAGCAGAAAGCAAGUCUUACUUUCCACCUAAAGGUUAUGCGUUCUUGUUGUUCCAAGACGAGUCCUCUGUUCAGGCCCUGAUUGACGCAUGCAUCCAGGAGGACGAGAAACUGUACCUCUGUGUUUCUAGUCCCACAAUCAAAGAUAAACCGGUCCAGAUCCGACCUUGGCGACUCAGUGAUGCUGAUUUUGUAUUGGAUGCCUCCAUGCCGCUUGAUCCCAGAAAAACUGUCUUUGUGGGUGGAGUUCCUCGCCCCUUGAAAGCUGUGGAAUUGGCUAUGAUCAUGGACCGAUUAUAUGGAGGAGUGUGCUAUGCGGGCAUUGACACAGACCCAGAACUGAAAUACCCAAAGGGAGCGGGAAGAGUGGCGUUUUCCAACCAGCAGAGCUACAUAGCUGCUAUCAGUGCUCGUUUCGUGCAGCUGCAACACGGAGACAUUGAAAAGAGGGUGGAAGUCAAACCAUAUGUUCUAGACGAUCAAAUGUGUGAUGAAUGCCAAGGAGCUCGAUGUGGAGGAAAAUUUGCCCCCUUUUUCUGUGCUAAUGUCACCUGCCUCCAGUACUAUUGUGAACACUGCUGGGCCACGAUCCACUCUCGUCAAGGACGCGAAUUUCACAAGCCACUGGUGAAGGAAGGGGCUGAUCGGCCUCGGCCAGUACCAUUUCGCUGGUGUUAGAGUGACAGAGGAUCUCUGCAUAUGUUUCUGAGUAGCGAUUUCCAUGCCACUUCCCUAAUCUUUCUGAAACACCAGCUUUUUUUAGGCAUUUCUAGGUGUGGCUUGUGGUGUGGUAGCACAGCCACUUAAGUUUUACUGUUCUUUAUGUGUUUGUUCCUUCACCACUCUGGAAAUUAAAUAUGUGGCUGUAGACAUAUUUUCAGAAGUUCGUAAUAUAUAUAUAUCAUAAAAUUUACAUUUAAUAUACAUAUAUAAAUAUAUAUAUCUAUAUUUUUUUCUUUUUUUGAUAGUUAAGUGAGGGUGGGAAAAGUCAUAUUGCUUGCUUCUCUGUACUCAUUGCUGCUAAUGAGACGAGAAACAGAAUAUACCAGUUGAAGUUUUUACUUCCUGGAAUUUUUAGACAGAAAGUAACAUAAAACAAUGUUUUUAUUUUGUCCCAUUAUUAUAUUAUUAUCUAGGAAAUCUGUUUAUAGAAUAUCUAGACCAUCAAUUUGACUUUCAUGUUGUGAUAACUUGUUUGUAAUUUAUCUACCUGAGGGGGUUCUCCCAGGAUCCUGAAUGUUUACUGCUUCAAUAACUUACUCAACCUAGUCAGCACGUGCUCCUCUGACAAGGGUUAGAAUUGGAAGUCCCUAGUCCUGGAGUAGUGCAUUUUUAAUGUGAUUUCAAAAUGUUAGUUGUUGCCUUAUAUAUUUUAGCUUAAAACAUUGUACUACCUUAUGGUAAAACACUGUACUACCUUAUGGUAAAACACUGUACUACCUUACGGUAAAACACUGUACUACCUUACGGUAAAACACUGUACUACCUUAUGGUAAAACACUGUACUACCUUACGGUAAAACACUGUACUACCUUACGGUAAAACACUGUACUACCUUAUGGUAGCUUGGUCAUUGGACAACGCUCAUUCAGUCAGUCCUCAGUGUACCUUCCCGUUUUGAUUCUCCCUCACGUGAGCAAUAAAUCCAGGCCUUAACUUUUAGAAGACCUUUUGGCCUCCAUCCUACUUUUCUUACUAGGCCUUUUUAAAAAAAAUUAAGUUCAAAGCUGGACUUUCCGCACCAGCAUUUUUACAGUCAUUGUUUGUAGACUAUGAUUCAUUCUCAGAUAACACUUUAAAUUAAUCAGGUAGCAAGAGUUGUACCUGUUAUUCAGACUCAAUUGAAAGGUGUUGUGGCUUUUACCUGUCUUCUAAUAAUCCCAGGUCAUUCUUACAGGCUUUUCUUCACAUCUGGAUUUGUGCAAAGAGCAUAAUGAACAUGCAUGCAAGUGCAGUUCAUGUUGAUGUGUUGCUUAUUCAGCAUGGGAAGACAGUGUUCCUUGACAUAUAUCUAUGGGUGGAGCCAUGCAUAAGACUUGUUAGUACAAUAACCUCCACAAUUAAGUAGAAAUAUUACAGAUUUUCUUAUCCUCACAAGAUACCUCAGUCUCCUAGCAAACAAUGAACUUGUACAGAAUUGCAGAAAAACUUCCAAAGUGAUUGACUGAGAGGAAAGAGAGCAGAUUUAUUGAUAGGAUAUGUGCAAUUAGCCUAACUGUGAUGGAAAGUAUGACUGCUCUUCUGUGGGGAAUAUAAACGUACAUUCAGGUGUUAUGCUGGAUGUUUCUGUAUGGUUAGGAGUGUGUAUGUGUGCUUCUGUCUGUAUGUAUGUGUGUCUAGGUGGUAGCAUUCAAGCAUUUUUGCAGUGUUUAAUCACAUAGGUACUUCAAGUAAAGCUGUGUAAUAAAGUCGGCUCUUUUAAGGUUAGCUUGUCUACAUCUUAAAAACAAAGAUUUAGAUGAAAACUAUGUCUAGUUAUUUCUUAAGUCAGUGUACCUCUUAUCUAGUCCUUUUGAAAUUUUUGAGCAUUAAUUUUAGAACUGUUGUUGUUUGUAGCUGUUCAGCCAUACAAAGUUAAUUAAUAAACACCAAAAAGUGUCUGAAUUAGUGUUGGAUAAAGUUCAGUAUUACUUGUGGAGCACUUGCUUGUUCGGUGUCUGAUUAUCUCUCUUUUUUUUUUUAAGCAUCUGUCUUGUUGAAUGUGACUUUCAGUUCAGAGUAAUUCAUCUAAGUUUCUGUUACUGCUACACCUAAGAAAAAGGUAUUGUCCUACAAAAGGACGUUAUUUUAUAGCCACAGGGGACAAUCACAUCUACCUAGCAACAUGGAGAAAGCUGCACUAGUGAACUCUAAUUUUGGGAGCUUCCACUGGAAUGCUUCAAAGUCUGUGUUUGAUGUUCUCUUUCCAGUGACUUUUUUUUAACAUUUUUGUUAUGACUGCUUUCUUUUCUUAUAUUCCAUGGUACAACAUUUGAAAUGUUGAAGUCAGGUACUCUGUUGUCAUUUUUUGGUUUUCUAUAUAAAAAAAAAAUCUCACCUUUAGACUGACUUUCUGAAGUAAGAGAGUUUUUAUCUAUUGUGUAUCUCCUAUUUUUCCAGUUCAGGUGUUAUACUUGAUCCUACAAAGUCUUUCUAAGUGUCUGCGAUAUGCCAGGGUUUUCAAAUGGCUAAUCUAGUUUUUAUUCUAAGUACAAUAACAGGGGCCCAUCUUGAAAAGUAUCCAGAUCUUCUCAGGUUAAGAAAUAAAUGUGAGAAAGAAAAAAAGAUAAUAUGCAGAUUAAUGCAAAAUGAUGGGUGGUAAUAAUGAUAGAUUAAAGAUCAGAAUUGAAAACCUGGUCUACUUAUUUACCAGAGAUUUUACAAAGCACCAUGGUUUGGAUGUAGUUAUAAUUACAGAAAAAGGAUCUGUAAAAACUGAAAUUUAGUACAAAAAAAACCAAAGAAAACAAAAACCCAUUAAACCUAGGUAAUGGUUGAACAUAUCACAGUAGGUUAUAUUGUUCACUCAGGUUGAAGUAUGCUUGUUAGGUACUUAAACAUGUUCUGUAUGUGAUCCCAGUAUAAGUAAGCUGUUUAUAGCAUACCUUAAGACUCUCAGUGGUUGGUGCCAAACACCCUUAAUGGACAUGUUCACGGGUGUGUCAAGGUACUAUCAUUUGUUUUUGUUUAGUUAUAGUAUUGAUUUUUUUAUUUAUUAAUAAUUAUUUAUUUUUGUUGUAUGUAAUGAAUUUAGUCCUUGGUAUAUUUCACUAGUGAAGCUACAACUUGGUGUCACCAAUUUUUGGGUUCUGCACUGGCAAAGUUGGAGUUGACACAUGUGUGAAUAAAUGUUGUAUAAAUAAAUGUUUCCCAAAAUAUACAGAAACAUUUUAUAUUGUAUUAUUGAUUUAAAACUUCUCGUGAAAUUGUUUCUUAUGAAUGUGUAAAAGUUCUUUUAUUUUAACAUUCUAAUAUAUUUUCCCCAAGAGAUGAUGCUUUUUAAAAAACUUUUUUAUUAUAAUAGAACCUACACAUAAAUAAAUAUAUCUUUUAAUAACCUUUGUAAUUAAUGUUACAUUUUCUCAAGAUUUAUAAUGUUCACUAUUUUGUAUUUUUCUGAUUGCUGUAGUGUUUCUGAUGGAAUCUUUUGACAAUUUAGUGUUAUAGCACCAUACAGUAUAUAGCAGACUUUAUUUUUCUUAUGGUGCUAUGUGUACAAUUAAUAUGACAUUUUAUUGCACCUGUAGCUUCUUAUGAAGCACUAGUCAGGUUACAUGUGAUUACUCACUAUAAAGAUAUGUACAUGUAAUCCCAUUUGAAACCAUAAUACACAACAUUACUGUGCAAUAUCAACUUAUUCGUGUAUCUAUAGAGAAUUUGGUUUUGAGCAAGUGAAAUGGUGGUGGUAUAUAAGAUGUUUGUAGUGGAUGACCACCUUUUACAAGUAUUCGAUUACUUAAUCUAUUAUGUGAACAAAAUUCAAUCACGUCCUAGAAAUUUGAUAUUUUACUCCACUUUUCACGAAUAGGCUACAGGUGUAUUUAUAUUCUGUAUUCUCUUGUUACAAGAUUUUUUUAAGUCUGUGUCUGUCCUUUUGUAUUUACUAUUAACCAUAAGAAAUUGGAACAAUUUCAACAAUGACAUCACCGAGUUCCAUACAAAAGUUUCUUUGAGAGGGUUGGGAGAAUAAAAACAUCGUAUGGAUAGCAAGAAAAAAAAAUCCCCUUACUUUCUGACAGUAUGGAAGAUUUUAAAAUGACAGACCAUUCUCCAAAAGCCAAAAGUGUUUCAAGAAUACCAUGCAAGAGCCUUCUAAGUUUUUUUCCAGUGUAAAAGAAUGUUAAUCUGGACAAAACUGAGAAACUUAUGAGCAGGAAAUGUUGAUAAAAAAUGUAUUUAGUCAUUGGCAUUGAAAUUUUCUUAACCUCUUAGUUCUGUUAAAACAUAUUAUUACUGUUUAAAAAAAAUGCUUUUUAAAAACUAUAUUAAGGUUUAGUUUUAUUAUUCAGCAUAAUUUCAUAUUUCAAUGUAUUGUCUGUGUUAAACAUCUGAAUUUUGUAUUGGUAUUUUGAGUUAUGGAAAGUUUAUUUUUGUAAAGUUUUUUAAUAGUAAUUUUCUACAGCUGUUCAUUUUAUAGACUAAAAUAUUAAUAGCAUGAUUGGUUGACAAGAAGAUUGUUUGAUAUAACUGAUAAUUGUUUAAUGACUGGCUAUGCAAGCUGUGCUUAGUCAAUUUUGUGUUGAUUUCGUAACUCUCUUGUGUUUGGGGUUUUUAAAGACUUUUUAUAGGGGUUUUAGUGGCUUGAGAAAAAGCUAAAAGGGAUGUUUUCAAAAAAAAAUUAAUUUUUUACCAGACAGCUUUUUUUGUCAAACCUGAAAACAGGCAUUUACAGCACGACACUUCAAAGCUUAUUUUCAUGGUCAACUAUUUUUAUGGGGUUUUAAAAUUAUUUUUUUGCAGAGAAAUUGGGGUGUUGCAUUUACAUGAUUUUCUGAAGUUGUUAAUAGCAAGUGCUCCAACUUGUACCUCACAGUUUGUGUGGGAAUGGACAAGAUCUUAAAUCUUUCCUGCUGUAAACAAGUUGAGCUGUAGAAAUCGUAAGAGAUGUGACCUGAUUUUGGGGUAACCAUUGUUAUUAGCACAGAGUUUCUACUACGUUUUUAAAUAAAAUACUAUUUCAUAUUCCUUUUGUUUAAUACAAUUUUGACAUGCAUGAUGACGUUUUGUAUACUAUUUGUUCAAUUAAUUUAUUUUGAUCUGAAUUUUUUGGUAAUACAAUAUUUCUGCAUGUUUUGAACAAUGGUUUGUACCUGUAGUGUUUAAGACCACUAGAUUCCUUGUCCUAUGGAAUCUUUGUGUAUGGUAAUUUAUUGUAGUUUCAUUAAAAGCAAAGCAAAAACUCA
rnacentral:misc_RNA from 1 species